GGUGAACGCUGGCGGCGUGCUUAAGACAUACAAGUCGAACGGCAGUCUUCGGACUGUAGUGGCGCACGGGUGAGUAACGCGUAACUGACCUACCCCAAAGUCGCGGAUAACGAUUCGAAAGAAUCGCUAAUACGUGAUGUGCUGUCAGAUCCUGUUCUGCCAGUAAAGAUUGAUUGCUUUGGGAUGGGGUUGCGUUCCAUCAGCUAGUUGGUGGGGUAAAGGCCCACCAAGGCGACGACGGAUAGCCGGCCUGAGAGGGUGGCCGGCCACAGGGGCACUGAGACACGGGUCCCACUCCUACGGGAGGCAGCAGUUAGGAAUCUUCCACAAUGGGCGAAAGCCUGAUGGAGCGACGCCGCGUGAGGGAUGAAGGUCUUCGGAUCGUAAACCUCUGAAUCAGGGACGAAAGACACUUCGGUGGGAUGACGGUACCUGAGUAAUAGCACCGGCUAACUCCGUGCCAGCAGCCGCAGUAAUAC
rnacentral:rRNA from 1 species